rnacentral:pre_miRNA from 1 species
UGAACUCAUAUUGGUAUGGAUUUGGAACGUUUGCCUACGUUUGUGGGGCGCUGUUCCAACUGCACACAAAUUUGAGUUA